rfam:Penicillium freii strain DAOM 242723 scaffold_132, whole genome shotgun sequence.
ACCAAGGUGGUGCAAUGGUAGCACGUCUGCUGGACGUCAAUCCUCGUAUGGGGAGCCCUUCGGGGAUAGCAGUUAUCCGGGUUCGAAUCCUGGCCUUGGCA